AAGCGAAUAGUGAAAUCUGGUGGCUCAACCAUCAACCCAUUGUUCGAACUGCUUGUCUCGAGAAUGGUAGAGGUAGCUGGAAUUUCUUGUGUAGGAGUGAAAUCCGUAGAUAUAAGAAGGAACACCAAUGGCGUAGGCAGGCUACUGGACCAUUUCUGACGCUGAGGCACGAAAGCGUGGGAGCAAACAGGAUUAGAUACCCUGGUAGUCCACGCCGUAAACUAUGGAUGCUA
rnacentral:rRNA from 1 species